AUCAUAGAGGAAAAUCCACCU
rnacentral:miRNA from 1 species